rnacentral:rRNA from 1 species
CAGUAGCCGCGGGAAUACGAAGGUCCCGAGCGUUGUUCGGAAUCACUGGGCGUAAAGGGAGCGUAGGCGGCGUGGUAAGUCAGAUGUGAAAUCCCGGGGCUCAACCCCGGAACUGCAUCCGAUACUGCCGUGCUAGAGGAUUGGAGAGGUAGCUGGAAUUCUUGGUGUAGCAGUGAAAUGCGUGGAGAUCAAGAGGAACACUCGUGGCGAAAGCGAGCUAUUGGACAAUAACUGACGCUGAGGCUCGAAGGCCAGGGUAGCGAAAGGGAUUAGAUACCCCGGUAGUCCCUGUCUCUUAUAC